ACGUCAGCCAGGGAUCCGGCAUCUCGGGCUCAGCUUCCUACCGAAACUCAAGAUCCCCAGUUACUCCGCAUAGAAACAUCUCUACGAAACCCAAGUUUCACUUCCCACCGUCGAUCUUACUGGUUCAUCGCACCGCCCAAGAGAAAGUCGAAAGAAACCGACGGUAGAUCAAGCACUCGCAUAUUUAUUCUAUGAAAUAAACACGUAUCUUAUCUUGUCUCCUUCAAACGGCUUAGGAGAUGAGAGUGAGACACCUGCCCUUCCCGCCAUUCCCCCACCGAGACCCCGGCUCGGGUCUCCACAAAUAAUUAACAAAAAAUAUUUAUUUCCUUUUCGCAGAAAAAAGUUAAACAAAAAGAGGAGAAAAUUCAAAUAAAGUUACGAAGUAUUUUUCUUCCGGCUUCCUGUGCGCGUAAUUUUCCUCUCAUUCAAACUCCACCUGGCGUCCUCUGCGCCAGUUUCCUCCUCCUCCUCCUCACCUCUUCGAGCGGCGAUAGCCAGCAAUGCCUCUGCUCCGCCCGGCGGUUCAUCAAUCCCUCGCCGGAUUCCUGCUUGUUGCCGCCUGGUGAACGGCGAGCCAUCGCCGGAUUUCGAGCCCGGCCGAUCUGGUGUUGUUUGGAUCCUAUCGUUCUUUGGGGAGCGAAAGCGAGAACCCCACCUUUUUGGAUUCUUUCUCAUUCUUUCAUUUGAAACGAUGGAUUCGCUGGAUGAAUGCAGCGGCGAACUGGGGUAGGAGGAGUCGCGAUAUAAAAAUAUCUAUUAUUUCUUGAGCAAUACGGGGGAUGAAUCUGGAAUUUGGAUCGAGACGUAAGGGGGAGGGGGAGAUUAAUCGAAAAUUGGGAUCCAGACGUAAGGGAGAGGGGGAGAUGAAUCGAGAUAUGGGAUCGAGACGUAAGGCAGAGGAGGAGAUGAAUAGAGAAUUGGGAUCGAGACGUAAGGGAGAGGGGGAGAUGAAUCGAGAAUUGGGAUCGAGACGUAAGGGAGAGGGGGAGAUGAAUCGAGAAUUGGGAUCGAGACGUAAGGGAGAGGGGGAGAUGAUGAAGAGGAAAGAAGAAAAGGCCAAGGUGAUGUAUGAGGGAUGGAUGGUUCGAUAUGGGCGUAGAAAGAUCGGGAAAUCUUAUAUCCACAUGCGGUAUUUCGUUCUUGAGCCCAGGCUUCUCGCCUAUUACAAGAGGAAGCCCCAAGAUAACAUGGUGCCACUCAAGACUCUUGUCAUAGAUGGGAAUUGCAGGGUCGAGGAUAGGGGCCUUAAAACACAUCAUGGGCAUAUGGUUUAUGUUUUAUGUGUCUACAACAAAAAAGAUAAGUAUCAUCGACUCACGUUGGCAGCAUUCAACAUCCAGGAGGCUUUGAUGUGGAAAGAAAAGAUUGAGCUUGUCAUUGAUCAGCAACAUGAUUCAUUGAGUGCUACUGGCAAUAAAGCCCUUGCUUCAUGUGAGUUUGGUGCAGACAAUAGAAGGAAUGCUUCUUCCUCUGAACAAGAAAGUGUGAAUAGCCUGGAAGAUGAAGAUGAGAGCAAUCGCACUUUACCACGGAGAAUGACAAUAGGACAUGGCCCUCCUGAUGCAAUACUUGACUGGACAUGCGAGCCUGAUCUAGGGCGUUCAAAUCAGAAUAUCAUCCAGCAAGUUUUCUCUAGAAAGCAUUGGCGAUUAAUCAAAUGCCAGAAUGGGUUACGCAUUUUUGAAGAACUUCUAGAAGUUGACUAUCUUCCAAGAAGCUUCAGUAGGGCGAUGAAGGCUGUUGGUGUGGUGGACGCCACAUGUGAAGCCAUAUUUGAGCUCGUAAUGAGUAUGGAUGAAACACGCUUUGAGUGGGAUUGCACUUUUCAGUAUGGUAGCCUAGUUGAGGAGGUUGAUGGACACACUGCCAUACUGUAUCAUAGACUGCAGCUGGACUGGUUCCCAAUGUUUGUGUGGCCCCGUGAUCUUUGUUAUGUGCGUUAUUGGCGACGUAAUGAUGAUGGAAGCUAUGUUGUGUUACUUCAAUCCAGAGCACAUGCUAACUGUGGUCUUCAGCCUGGAUUUGUGAGAGCUCAUGUUGAGAGUGGUGGAUUUAAGAUUUCACCCCUUAAAUCUCGCAAUGGGAGAUCUCGAACUCAAGUUCAGCAUCUUAUGCAAAUUGACCUCAAGGGUUGGGGUGUGGGCUAUAUUCCAUCAUUUCAGCAGCAUUGUUUACUUCAGAUGUUGAGUAGUGUUGCUGGGUUGCGUGAAUUCUUUUCUCAAACAGAUGAAAUACAUACAGUCCCAAGGAUUCCAGUCAUGGUCAAUAUGACUAAGUCUGUUUCUUCUAAGAAGGAUCAGAAAUCUCAGGAAAUUGAUGUUCAGCCUGGCCCACCAUUGGAUCCUGUGCUUGCUGGUAGCAGACACUCUAUUUUAUUAGAUGAAGACUCUGAUGAUGAUGAUGACUAUCAAAUUCCUGAAGCUAUACAAGAGGCAUAUGCAAUCAAGACUGAAAAUGAUGUUAUGCAAAUAGUUUUGGAUGAGGAGCCUUCAGAUCAAAUUGAUUUGUCCUGCUUUUCUGGCAAUCUACGUCGGGAUGACCGUGAUGGUAGUCGAGACUGCUGGAGUAUACCUGAUGGGAAGAACAUUAAAGUCCGUAGCAAAAAUUUUCUACAGGACAAGUCCAAGAUACCAGCAGGGAAGCAUCUCAUGGAACUUGCAGCAGUCGAUUGGUUGAAGGACACGAAAAGAAUGGACAAUGUUGCAAGACGAGCCGGUUGUGCGGCCCAAGUUGCCUCUGAGAAAGGACUGUUCUCAUUGAUCAUAAAUCUGCAAUCUUGCAGAUUCCAGGAUCAACCAAUUAUAGUAUGGUCUUCUAUUUUGUAAUGAAACAACUGGUACCAGGAUCAUUAUUGCAGCGUUUCAUUGAUGGUGAUGAUGAAUUUCGUAAUAGUAGGUUCAAGCUCAUCCCAUCUGUUCCUAAGGGCUCCUGGAUUGUGCGCCAAAGUGUUGGAAGCUCUCCUUGUUUAUUGGGGAAAGCAGUUGAUUGUACAUACAUUCGUAGACCGAAGUACUUGGAGAUAGAUGUUGACAUUGGUUCUUCUACAGUAGCCAAUGGAGUUUUGGGGCUUGUAUUAGGUGUAGUUACAUCAUUGGUUGUUGAUAUUGCAUUUCUUAUACAGGCAAACACUUCUGAAGAGCUUCCAGAGCAGCUUAUUGGUGCAGUCAGAGUGUCACAUCUUAAGCUGUCAUCUGCGAUGAUUUCAGGACUUGACAAUAGUCCUACUGAUUCAAUUCAUUAGUUGAUUUUAGACUCCACAUCACCCCUCCCCCACCACCAUCCACCCCCCCCCCCCAACCCAACCUGUUAUUCUUUCUAUUUUUUCCUAGGCCAUCAGCAAUGGCAUACAUGACCACGCAAAGGUUCAGUGCAGCAAUUUUCUCUACAUGUUACUUUACACUUUGAAGCUCAUGCAAGUCCUCCUUCCCUUCCUACGUUUGACCGAACAGGUUAAUUUUUCCUAUGAAGGUAUUCUGUAACAUAUGUUGAAGUACGACCCCUUCUUUUUCUGCUUGUGAUCUUUUCUUGUGAUUUCCUAGUUUAUCUUUAGCAAGUAUUCAGAAAAUACUGUGAUAUCCAUCUGGAUAUAAAAUUUUUACUUUAUGUUAUGCAGAGUCAUCUAUACAUUAUGUUUCUCAUCUACUUAAAUAUUCAAAGAGGCAUUGGUUGUCUCGCAUAUACCAUAAUAGAAGAGGCAUUUACUUC